rnacentral:rRNA from 1 species
UGCGCAGGCGGUUUUGUAAGACAGUGGUGAAAUCCCCGGGCUCAACCUGGGAACUGCCAUUGUGACUGCAAGGCUAGAGUGCGGCAGAGGGGGAUGGAAUUCCGCGUGUAGCAGUGAAAUGCGUAGAUAUGCGGAGGAACACCGAUGGCGAAGGCAAUCCCCUGGGCCUGCACUGACGCUCAUGCACGAAAGCUGGGAGCAAACA